UUCUACCCGCGCCCCGGAUAGAAGCGGAAAUCCUUUGCGUAAGCAAAGAUUGGAGCGGAUAGCCGGAAAUGUG
rfam:Beta vulgaris subsp. vulgaris contig125465.1, whole genome shotgun sequence.